UACGGAGGGGGCUAGCGUUGUUCGGAAUUACUGGGCGUAAAGCGCACGUAGGCGGAUUGGAAAGUUGGGGGUGAAAUCCCGGGGCUCAACCCCGGAACUGCCUUCAAAACUCCCAGUCUGGAGGUCGAGAGAGGUGAGUGGAAUUCCGAGUGUAGAGGUGAAAUUCGUAGAUAUUCGGAGGAACACCAGUGGCGAAGGCGGCUCACUGGCUCGAUACUGACGCUGAGGUGCGAAAGCGUGGGGAGCAAACGGG
rnacentral:rRNA from 1 species